GAGAAGCAGAAACUUACUGGUUUUGUUGCCAGGAGGGCUUCGUUAAUCAAGGGUCCGACACCGGUGCACUCGAAGCAGUAAUCCACACCCAAUCCACCUGUCAUGUCUUUUAUCAGUUCUGAAAUAGGUCUGUUGAAGUAUUCAUCUGCGUUUAUAAAAUCAGUCAUUCCAAAGGCUUGCCCUUUCUCUCUUUUCUUUUCAUUCUUGUCUACUCCGAUUAUUUUUGUCGCCCCUUGCAUUCUAGCUCCCUCUAUGGCCUGCAAUUUGUACAAAGAAUCUGCAUUAAUUAUCAAAUCUGAUUCAUUGACUAGUGCUUUGAAAAUAUUAAGGAAAAUUAAGGACCAAAAAGGGCAAAAAAGAAGAAGUAAGAAAUUGUUAAUUUACAAUACCCCUAAUCCAACAGCGCCUAGACCAAUGACAGCAACACUUGAUCCCUUCUCAACACCAGCUUCCCUCCAAGCUGACCCAAAUCCAGCUGAGAACCCACAUGAAAGGAAGCUUGCAUGAGGAAGAUCUAUGCUUGGAUCAAUCUUGACAACGUAAUUGGUAUCAAUCACCAUGUAUUCAGACCAUGUUGAACAUGUAAUUAGGUGAUACAAUUUCUGUCCAUUAAUGGAAAUUCUUGAAGUGCCGUCAGGCAUUAGCCCAUUGAGGAUUAACGGGUACUUCAAGCAUAAAUUGGUCUUCCCGGAUGUGCAAUUCUCACAUUCUUGGCACUCUCCAAGGUAGGCUGGAAUGACAAGGUCUCCUUCUUUAAGAUCUCUUACUCCUUCACCUAUGCUUUCCACCACUCUACAUUACACACAUGUUAGAUUUAGACGAAUAGGGAUAUAUAUAUAUAUAUAUAUAUAUAUAUAUAUAUAUAUAUAUAUAUAUAUAUAUAAACAUACAUAAUCAAGGCUAACGUACCCAACUCCUUCAUGGCCUAGGACUCGAGGGAAAAGAGGCUGAAAAGCAAGAUAGGUGAAAUUAACAAAGAAGUUAACAAAGUUAAUUGAUAACUUAUUGUGAGGCAAGUUGUAAUACUAACAAUCAGGGAUCCUUUGGCAUAUAAGGUAUCGGUAUGGCAUAAACUAGCACACAACACCUUCACACGAAUCUCAGAACACUUUGGUGGCUCCACCUGUAUCUCUUCCACCUUCAGUGGCUCCCCUACUCCCCAGCAUACUGCCGCUGCCACAAGACACCCCAAGCAAAAAUAAAAGAAGGAUUACAGUGAAAGAAAUUGCCGACGCAAAUUUGCAAGCAUACGCAUUUAGCAGAUUCUGAACAUACCUUUGCAUGUUAUUACCUGUGAGCUGCUGCUCUUUGACAUUGUUGAGGAGUUAUUGACCCCUCUUAUGCAGACUCGGCGUUUGUAUGGAAGUUAGCUAGAAUCUUUUGAUGAUCUCACCUAGAGGCUAGACUGACACAUUUAUGCUGUUCCAUGCAUGCAUUUUCUGUUAAAAAUUAAGUCCUCUCCAUUACACAAUCAUUAAACCUCGUUGAUCUAGCAGAGUUCCGCGGGACAUGACCUCUAAUACAGGUUUUGUAACUAAACGUUUAGACAGAUUGCUAAUUUUCCCAUUAAUUUUAUAUAAUUUCCGCAACCUAUCGUGUCAAACAAUUCGUACUGACGUGUCCGUAAAUACCGGCCUCAAGUUCUGACUAUUAAAAGAUGGGGUCAAAUAUCUUAUGAAGAGAAGACAUUCUUUCAAAAUAGCAUUGAUUCAAGCUUUUUUUAAAGUCAAAGUUUUGUUUAAUUUAUGGUAACUUGCUUGAUUUGUGAUACAAAGCUUUGGCUGGGUCCACCCUGGAUUAGGUGACGUUUAAAUUUAUUAUCAAUUGAGUCUAAAUCUUUUUAUCUUUUUCUUAAUUUUACUGUAAACGUAAUUGAUGUUCGGUUAUAAUAUCAAUCUUUCAUCCAUUCGUUAAUAGGAAUAGUUAAAAUAUUUUGAUUAACUUGUAUGUGAUUUACACAUGCUUUUCAAAAGCUUCCAUACAAGCUACCAUGCACUUUUGCUAAAAAAAGAAAAUUCUAACACCAAGUCAAUAAGAAAAUUCUACCACAAUAAAGAUUUUAUUGAUGUUAUUAUCUAGUAAUUUAAGAAAAUUAAAAAUUUUAAAUUAGAUAUUGAUCAUAAAAAUUUAAGUACUAUAUUAGUUAUAAUUGAAGAAAGGUAAACAUCACUUUUAAAUCAUCAUUUCAAGUGAAAUGUUACCCUUAUGUUUUUAUUUAUUUAAAUACUAUAAUAUUUUGAGCUUGCUUAUAAUUUAUUUUUUAAAGGUUAAUGUCAGUCCUUAAAAAUAAAAGUCAUGUCAAAAAAUGAUACUAGUUUCUAAAAACAAUAAAUUCGUUGAAAAAUUGAUGUUUAAACCUUAAAAAAAGAGUUACGUCUAAGUUGCAAAAAAAAAAAAAUUAAUAUAAUCUAUAUUUGUUUUUAAACUUUCGACAUCGAUCAUUUAAAAAAAAACAAAGAGAUAUAUUGACGAAUAACAUUCAUUUCUAAAAAAAAAAAGAUUAUGUUUGAAUCGUUAAAAAAUAACCAUAACUCAUAUUUGAGAAUUGAGCUUUGGAGUCAGGUUGUCAUUCUUCUUUAUAUAGAUUUAAAGUAUUUUACAAAAUACAAGAAAAUAAAAUACCGUUAGAAGACCUCAAAAUUACCUAAGUGUCACUAUACAGGAGAAAAAGAUAGAAAUACCCUUUGAAAUUACAAAAAUAUCCUUGAUGGCGCGUGUUCCUCACAUGCGGCCACUGUUGGAGAAGGAGAGAUUUUUCAAUGAGACUUCAGGCCAAAAAGGGUAGAUUCUGUCGAUGGAAGGAUUCUAAUAGUGGUGGUGGUGAUUGUUGUUGAUUGCGAAUAAGAGAGAAUCAACAAUUUGAAGUUUUGGGUAGCUGAAGACAUUGCGCGCCUUAACCAAUGAUAACAACCUAGGGUUUUCUCACGAGGAGGAGAUGAGGCUUUAUGUGGUUGUCCGACGGAUUAAGGUGGCUAGAGUUGAGAGAUUUGAGGAGAGCGAGAAUUGCCGGCAAUAGAAGAGAAAGUCUAUGGGGUUUGCUAAGGUGAGGACUUGAGCAUGGUAAUCUAAUGCAUCUAAAGCUUGUGGAUUAUUGAAUCACUUCUAAAUUAAUAUUUUGGCUACGGUUCACUUGAUCGGAUGAUUUUGAUUCAGAUAUUUUUUUUUCGGUGUAAUAAGAUGCACCGUAUAUUUAGUACACUAGAUAACAUGACAUGAUAUAAUCAGUUGAGAGAUUUUUUAAGGAUUGAGAUGGAUUUGAGUUUUAAUUUAGUAUGGUAAGUCAUAUUAAAUUAUAUUCAAUUAAGAGUUCAAAACUAAUAUUAUUAGAUAUAAUGUAUAAAUAAUGAUUAGAAUAUUUUUGAUAUUUUUUAAAUUAUUAUUUUUUAAAAUCAAUAUCUUACCGCACGAAGAAAAACUUGAAUUAUUAACAUAUUCAUAUUAUUAUUAUUUUUUCAAAGUUACAAUGGUAAGGAGAGACGAACAUUUAUGUCUAGGAAACACAACAACAAGAGAUAUACAGCAUCUUGAAGAAAAUUUUCACCAACAUUAACUUCUCCAUUCAAAAAUUUACUUCUACUUUAUUAUUUUCUUUUAUUAUAUAUAUAUAUAUAUAUAAAAGUAAAACUAAAAGCACACAUUAAUUAAUAUUAGAAAAAGCUUGUUUCAUCAGUUAAAAAUUAAUUUCAAACAUCAAAAAUUAUUUUUUAACUAAUGUUAACCAAGUGGAUUUAAUUUUUACUCCAAAUAACCUGAAACUCAUUUUUUAUUUUUAGUUGACCUCAUAAACUUAAUUUAGAAAAAAUUAAUUUUAACUCGAGAUGGCUUGAAAUUUAUUUUUUUAUCUUGAUCAAUACAGUUUGAAAUAUAUCAACUUGGUGAACUCGGUUUUGAUGAAAAAAAAACAAUUGACCUAAAAAAAAAAUAUUUUUGAAUAUUAAACUUUUUCUUAAUUUUUUUGAACAAAAGUAAAGUAACAUAAGAGAAAUUUUUUCGGAGAAUCUAAAAUUGGAGUAUUACAUUAAUUUUGCAUAGAACUUGAUAUUGAUCGUUAAAAGUUAUUGAAAAUAUCUAUAAAAAAAAAAAAAAAAAACAAGAAACAUGUUGUCCGUCGUAGCUCGUGGCUACUAAUAUUCUUGAGAAUAUUGCAAUAAAUUGAGAAUUCCCAGCUCUUUUUUAUUUUCUAACAAAAAGCUAGUAGAAGCGGGUUCUACAGGGCAAUAACAAAACACUGUACUAAACCCAAAGUAAAACUCUUUAUAUCAAAAUCACAUCUUUUCUCCCAUAAUCGAACACGGAUGCAAUAGUGUGAUACAGCAUUUUAAGUUUUUAUUAUAAGCUAUGGUACCUGACUUCGAAAAGAAAUAAAUAUCUAGCUGCAUCCAUUUUUUUAAACGCCUUAUUUAUUCAAGAGUCUACCGUAUUAAAUUCGUUACAUGUUGAUAAGGACCUUGAGACAGUCUUCUUGCUGCAGUAGUUGAAAAGCUUUGUUUAUAUCUUCCAACAUAACUUGAUGGGUCAAAAGUUCAUCCAGAUUGAAUUCCUAAAUAAAAUCAUGCACAUAAGUUGCAUUAAUCUGGUUAGUUUUUUCAACAUAGAAAGAAUAGAUACACAGGAAACAAAAACAUACGUACCCCGUUGAAGAAACAUGUUAUACAUAGACCUGAUAUUCAUUCUAUAUGAAGCUAAUAUAUUUAACUCACCUUAUUUUUGCAUUUGUCAAGCAAAAUGGGGAGAUGGGAUUUAAUUUGGAGCCCCCCGAAAAUAGAACCCUUCAAAGUUCCACCACAAAGUAGAGGUAGGAAGUCGAUGGACACAGUUUGAUGAGUUCCAGCACCAACUAUAAAUGUUUCUCCUUUCCCCUAACAUCAUAUGAAAAAAAAAAAAAAAAAAGUAAACUCUUAAUAUAGUAUGUAUCCAUGCAUCUUUAAAUCAAGUUUUUAAACUCGGACUAGCUUGAAAAGUCUAUUUGAGACCCAAGUGAUAAUUCAGACCAGAUAUAAAAAAAAAUAGCUCACAAUAAAUCCAAUUGAACCUGGUUGAUAUGACAAGUUAACCUAAUAUAGCACACUUAGGUUGAGAGAAGCAGAAACUUACUGGUUUUGUUGCCAGGAGGGCUUCGUUAAUCAAGGGUCCGACACCGGUGCACUCAAAGCAGUAAUCCACACCCAAUCCACCUGUCAUGUCUUUUAUCAGUUCUGAAAUAGGUCUGUUGAAGUAUUCAUCUGCGUUUAUAAAAUCAGUCAUUCCAAAGGCUUGCCCUUUCUCUCUUUUCUUUUCAUUCUUGUCUACUCCGAUUAUUUUUGUUGCCCCUUGCAUUCUAGCUCCCUCUAUGGCC
rnacentral:lncRNA from 1 species